UUUGAAUAAUCGUAAUUUCAAUAUUGACCAAAAUAAUCCUGAUUAUGAUUUUCCCCAUAAUCGAGCAGCCCUCCUCAAUCGUUAAGUCUGUUCUACUCUAUGGCUGUGAAACCUGUAAAACUACAAAAACAAUCAAAAAACAUCUAGCCUUCAGCAGCAACUUCCUCUGUUCCAUAAGGAUAUGGUGGCCUAAUAAAAACAUUAACCUGACUUGUGGAAACUGACCAAUCAGGAUCAAAUCCACCAUCAGAUUACAGGAGGUUACGGGAGGGUGAGCGUGACGCCAUACACCUCAGCUGACCCGCGGUCAAAGAGUUCAGAGGCUUCAUCUUCCUAGGGGAUCAAGGCUGACCUCACCUGGUCUGCUCAUACAGACGAGGUGGUCCAAUCAGCCCGGGAACGUCUUCUCCUCCUGAGGAGACUGAAGACGUUUGGUGUGGAUCGAGUUAUCCUCCAAAACUUCAACAGUGCACUAGGGAGUGCAAUCCGACCAGGUCGGUACGAGAGCUGCACAGCCAAGGACCGUAAGGUCAGACUUUCUAAGGAUUCUAGGACUUUCUCAAGUCAUCAGGCUGUCAGGACUGCAGAACCCAAUGGCAGAGAGCUCCCUGUGCUACUGGACUCCUCCUACCCAGCAGCACAUGCAUAAACAGUAUAUAUAUAAAUAUACAUGUAUAUAUUACUAUACUAUUACAAUAUAUUAUAUUGUCUUCUGGCAGGCUAUACCGAUCUGCCGUCUGGCUGCCAACUGAAUGUUUCUAUCCCAGAGCCAUCAGGUGUUGACUGUCUGGGAUUUCUUACAUUCUCAUGUCCCUUUGCAACCUUAUUAACCUAAAUAAUUAAAUUAUUUUAAUUAUUCUAAUAUAUUUUUCAUUAUCUAUCUUUCUAGUAUUUAAGCCCAAACUAGGUAUCAGCGGUUGACUUGAACAGUAGGAAUAUCCGGGCAAGUUCUAGCUGUGAUCUGUGCUUCUGAAAUAUAAAACAGGUGUUUGAACAAUAUUUAGAGAGCAUUUUAAGAGCAGCCCGGGGGAAUGAGCGUGAUUCAUCAGUGAGCCGGUGGCGGGGCUGGAGCGGGAUCAAAAUAGCAGGAUCAGAAUCCAUCUGCCAGCUCACUUUUGGUUACCGGUAAAACCUGACCUCCUUCACUCUCAUUCCACAUCCCUGCUAGAGACAUCAGGUUGCUGGUGUGGCUCACAUCUCACGUCUCCGUUUUCUGUUUUACCACUGGCCUCCAGCACCACGACUCAGAGCGUAUGUUGAGCUGUGAGUGAUUGACAGGAUGCUCAGGGUCCAAUGAUGAGUGCUCUGUUCCCGGGUAGAAAAGCUUAGAGGAACACAAAGCAAUGUACCACAACUAGCUAUGGAUUACUAGUUUUACGUACCGGCUUUUACCGUACCUUAGCCUAUAAUCUAUGCUUUUACUAAUGAUAUCAAAUCCAAAUAUUGUUUUGACUCAAUAGUAAAUAGUCCUCUAAUUGUCUUUCAAAUUAAUGCUGGUAGCUUCUCAUAUGCGAGCAGAAUGGGCUUAGAGCAGGGCGAUGCUUAAUCCCACUGUGCAUCAUUGAUGUAUGGCACCUCUUUAAGCCCUGUAAACCACUCAGCUGGCCUGGUGUUGUUGUUGUUGUUGUUGCUGCUGCUGUUGUUGUUGUUGCUGUUGUUUGGGUUCAACGGUUUAAUGAAUGGGCAGCUUAGCUCUUAAAGGCUCCUCACAAACACGUGCUUAAACAUUAUGAGGCCAUACACUGGAAGGUCAUUAGGUCAUAUGAUUGCUGAUCUUAAGAUCCAAAACCAAACCUAAAACCGCGCAAAACACGGUCAGCCAAAAGAUACUGAGCCUGAAGGACCUUCUUUAUGCUAUCCACACAAACCCACCCCCAAUGACACUCUCUCUCUCUCCCUUUCUCUCUCUGGGUGACCCUUGAUGUAAGUAUGUCUUAUGUGUGGGCGGGGAUUGUGAAAGAUCACUGAACAGACCCACAGUAUUAAUGAGAGAAUAACAUGAUAUGUUAAAAUGUACUUUCAUCGUUAUGAAAGUACAAACAACUACAAAAAGAAGAAUGUUAAAACCCCAACCACCUGAAAACGAUGUACACUAUGUACAAUGUGAACUAUGUGCACUAUAUACAUUGUAAACUAUAGACACUAUAUGCAUUAUAAACAAUGUACACAAUAUAAUCUAUAUACACAUUUACAUUACAAACUAUACACACAAUGUACAUUAUAAACUUUAUACACUAUGUACAAUAUAAACUAUAUCGACGAUGUACAAUUAAACUAUAUUGAUUAUGUACAAUAUAAACUAUUUAGACUAUGUACAAUAUAAACUAUUUAUACUGUACAAUAUAAACUAAACACACUAUAUGCUUUAUAAACUAUGGAUACAUCAUGUACACUAUAAACGAUGUAUACACUAUGUAUAAUAUAAACUAUAUGCAUUUAAAACUAUGUAGACUAUACAGACACACCUGUACAAUAAUGUAUGUGUGUACACUUUAAAUAGACUAGUUUUCUCACGCGCGUAGCGCUUGCUCAACCUCUAGUUAUAAACAAACCCAUAGCAAUAAUGUGGAAACCCCAGUCGUUAAUGUAACAAAUUUCUGGGCGCAUAAUAUAUUAACAUUUUGGCUAUACUUUUACAAUGUAUAACAUUCGUUCACCAGAAAUGACUCUAAAAAGCAGUGCCAAAAUUAAAAUAUUUUUUACUACACUAUAUACAUUAUAACUACUACUACAACUACUAUUAGUAGUUGCCUUGCUAGUAGUUAGUUGAAAAUAAUUAUUGUCAUUGAGAUUAAACAUCUCUUCCAGUGUCCUGGCCAAGACAGGCAGCAGUAGCCUACAGUCACACAUAGCAUACAAACAUAAGAAAACUCAAAAAAAAACUCAAACAGGCCGCAGGGGGGAGGGGGGAUAUCAAUAUCGCAAGACAUCUCGGGAGGUUCAAGGAGGAGGGUAAUAUUAAGUUUGAGCAACAAAGUGUAGUCUUGUGGUGGACUCUAUAGACAUAAUUCACCAUACUGUGUUGACAUGUUUUCGUGCAUGUGCUUUACACAUGCGCACAUGAGUAACUUGAUUAACUGGUGCGACAGGCCUGCUAUUAUAGUAGUAAGAUGUUAAAUAGAAACAAUGUGUGCAAUGAUAUGAUUGAAAGCAAUAAAUGUUUCUAAAUGUUGACCCUCCUUGUGGGCAGAGUGAUUCCCCCAGGAUCCUGAUUUCACUGAAUGAAUAGCAGCCGAUAUAAAAGAGAGCCAAUGUCCUUUCUGCUAAUUAGUCUGUGAUUAGACGCAGGGUCGAGAGUUUCCCUCUGGAGCUUAUCGUUUUAGGCUUAGAAACACUUCAUUAAUUCAUGCGUUAGCAGACAAGGGUUCUUGGUUCGUCCACAAUACCCCCAAGAUUUCCAGCAAGCCCAGAAACUGCCCUUACAGAGUGAUGUAAAGAUAUCACAGGAUCUCAUUGUCCUCUCAUAAGGGAGUUCCUGUAUGUUGAGCGCCUCUGGGUUAUUCACUUCUACUACCUCCUUAUGUGGUGUGUAUAUAAUCACCAUAUGUUUAUAACCCUAUCAUGUGACAGAGGGCUGUGGAGGGUGUUAUGAUGGACAGAGGGCUGUGUCACUGGUAGAGGAGGGAGUUAUGAUGGACAGAGGGCUGUGUCACUGGUAGAGGAGGGAGUUAUGAUGGGCAGAGGGCUGUGUCACUGGUAGAGGAGGGAGUUAUGAUGGACAGAGGGCUGUUUCACUGGUAGAGGAGGGAGUUAUGAUGGGCAGAGGGCUGUGUCACUGGUAGAGGAGGGAGUUAUGAUGGACAGAGGGCUGUGUCACUGGUAGAGGAGGGAGUUAUGAUGGACAGAGGGCUGUGUCACUGGUAGAGGAGGGUGCUAUGAUGGGGCUAGGACUACGUCAUUGGUAGAGGAGGGGGCAUCAUGUGGUGCAUUAGGGGUGUUUUAAUGAAGGCAGCGACCAGGAUGAACAGUAGCUCUGCAGCAAGGAGCAGUACCACAUUAUGUCUACAAGAUGCUGCUGAAACAGAGCACCAGCCGUCUAGGGGUAAACAUGGUGUAUCUUCUGUAGCAUAACCGAAGAGGGGAGUUGAUCAAAGAAUAGCAACUAAUAUUCGAAUGUGUUGUGCGGUUGGUUGGCGUCCAGGGACAGAACAUUAUUGGCAAAGCAUAUCGAAUAAUAACACAAUGUUAGCAUAGCAUUAGCAUAGCAACAUGGUAUAACAUAGCAAAGUAAGGACCCAGCCUCACAGGCAGCCCCAAACAACAGCAAACGCAGCGUAGCUUAGCACAAACACACGUUAGCUAGAGGAGAACACGGAAGAUGAGGAAAUCAAUCAAUCUUCACGCUCGGUUGUUUCGCAAUUUUUCUGCCUCCCACCUCUCCUUCAGCGAGGGACAGGGUGGCCUCAAAGCGGUCUCAGGACCUCCAGUCAUUACUCAUGUGCACCCAGGGAGCUCCUUCGCCUGAAGGGGCCGGCGGCCGCUCGCUGCAGCUGCCUGCGUUUGUUAUCUGGGCUGAGGACCGUGUGUGCACUGUUCACGCUGCGCUGCACGAUGCGCUAGGUGACAUGCACACACACACACACACAGACACACCUGUACGACGACAGACACACACAUACACACAAUGGUAAAUCUACAGACGCACACACACUGGUACAUCGAAAGACACACAGACAAACACACACACACACACCGGUACAUUUACAGACACACACACACAUACACACACAAAUACACAAAACCACAGGCCACACAUAUACGUCCCCAACACACACACACACACACACACACACACACACACACACACACACACACACACACACACACACACACACACACACACUGGUACAGAGGCAUACACACAUACACACACACAGACACACACUGGUACAUUUACAGACACAAACACAUACCCACACAAACUCCAACCAAUACACAAAACCACAGGCCACGGCACCCACGCACGCACGCACACGCACACGCACACACACACCUAGGGAAGCUAAGCAGUGUGUGUGUGUGUGUGUGUUUGUCUCCAG